rnacentral:rRNA from 1 species
GUCUUAUUGAUUAUAAUUUUAAGUCUAAUCUGCCCAAUGAUAUUUAUUAAAUGGCUGCAGUAUCUUAACUGUACAAAGGUAGCAUAAUAAUUUGUCCUUUAAUUAAGGACUGGAAUGAAUGAUUGAACGAGAUAAUAUCUGUCUCUUUUUAAAUAUUAGAAUUUUAUUUUUAAGUUAAAAAGCUUAAAUUUAUUUAAAAGACGAGAAGACCCUAUAGAGUUUUAUAUAUUAUUAUAAUUUUAAUAUUAGAAUUUUAAUUUUAUUUUUUUUAUAAUAUAUUUAAUUGGGGUGAUUAAAAAAUUUAUAAAACUUUUUUUUAUUAUUUACAUUAAUUUAUGGUUAAUUGAUCCAAUUUUUUGAUUAAAAGAUUAAAUUACCUUAGGGAUAACAGCGUAAUUUUUUUUAAGAGUUCUAAUCGAAAAGAAAGAUUGCGACCUCGAUGUUGGAUUAAAAUUAAUUUUUGGCGUAGCAGUUAAAAAAUUAGGUCUGUUCGACCUUUAAAAUUUUACAUGAUCUGAGUUUAAAUCGGCGUGAGCCAGGUUGGUUUCUAUCUUUAAUCCAAUAAUAUAUUUUAGUACGAAAGGACCAAGUAUUUAUAAUAAUUAUUAUAAAUUGAAUAU